CGCGGCCUAUCAGCUUGUUGGCGGGGUAACGGCCCACCAAGGCGACGACGGGUAGCUGGUCUGAGAGGAUGGCCAGCCACAUUGGGACUGAGAGACGGCCCAGACUCCUACGGGAGGCAGCAGUGGGGAAUCUUGCGCAAUGGCCGACAGGCUGACGCAGCGACGCCGCGUGGAGGAUGACGCCCUUCGGGGUGUAAACUCCUGUUGCCCGGGACGAACAGCUCUUAUUAGGGAGCCUGACGGUACCGGGUGAGGAAGCACCGGCUAACUCCGUGCCAGCAGCCGCGGUAAUACGGAGGGUGCGAGCGUUGUCCGGAAUCACUGGGCGUAAAGGGCGCGUAGGUGGCUUGGUAAGCGUGCGGUGAAAGCCCGGGGCUCAACCCCGGGUCGGCCGUGCGAACUGCGAAGCUGGAGCACUGUAGAGGCAGGUAGAAUUCCGGGUGUAGCGGUGGAAUGCGUAGAGAUCCGGAAGAAUACCGGUGGCGAAGGCGGCCUGCUGGGCAGUGGCUGACACUGAGGCGCGACAGCGUGGGGAGCAAACAGGAUUAGAUACCCUGGUAGUCCACGCCGUAAACGAUGGGCACUAGGUGCUUGGGGGAGCGACCCUCCGAGUGCCGGCGCUAACGCAUUAAGUGCCCCGCCUGGGGAGUACGG
rnacentral:rRNA from 1 species